UUGGCUGGGGCAGUACACCUGUCAAACUGUAAGGCAGGUCUCCUAAGGUGAGCUCAGGGAGGACGGAAACCUCCCGUGGAGGAGAAGGGCAAAAGCUUGCUUGAUCUUGACUUCCAGUACGAAUACAGACUGUGAAAGCAGGGCCUCAUGAUCCUUCUGACUUGGGUUUUGCCCAAAAC
rnacentral:ncRNA from 1 species